rfam:S.cerevisiae chromosome II reading frame ORF YBR231c
AUCUCUUUGCCUUUUGGCUUAGAUCAAGUGUAGUAUCUGUUCUUUUCAGUGUAACAACUGAAAUGACCUCAAUGAGGCUCAUUACCUUUUAAUUUGUUACAAUACACAUUUUUUGGCACCCAAAAUAAUAAAAUGGACGGGAAGAGACUUUUUAAGCAAGUUGUUUUCCGCUAAUGUCAGGUCUCACUAC